UACGUAGGGGGCGAGCGUUGUCCGGAUUUAUUGGGCGUAAAGAGCGUGUAGGCGGCCAGGUAGGUCUGCUGUGAAAACUCGAGGCUCAACCUCGAGACGUCGGCGGAAACCAUCUGGCUAGAGUCCGGAAGAGGAGAGUGGAACUCCUGGUGUAGCGGUGAAAUGCGCAGAUAUCAGGAAGAACACCCGUGGCGAAGGCGGCUCUCUGGGACGGUACUGACGCUGAGACGCGAAAGCGUGGGGAGCGAACAGG
rnacentral:rRNA from 1 species